rnacentral:lncRNA from 10 species
CCUCAUUUCGUUCUCUGAAUAGCUCUAAGAGCGUGAACAACCCCAGAAGGAAAAAGAGUGCUGUUGUUAAAGGUAUCUGGCAUCAUGGACCCAACCAUCACCAGGAGUUUCUCACUUCAUCUCUGCUUUAUUGUAGUAUAAUUUGCAUACAAUAAUGGCACACAUUUAAUGUGCACAGUGUGAUAAAUUUUGACAUAUGUAUACAUCCAUGAAGCCGGCACCACAAUCAAGAUAAUGAACAUCUCGCUUACCCCAGAAGUUUCCUGUGCCCUGUCACUCCUCCGUAUUCCUCCAUCCUCAGGAUUUCAUCAAAUGGUCUGCUGCACUGUGCUGGAAUUUUGAACUCCCCAGAGUAGUAAACAACAUCUUCUCAAGGGUAUACAAGUCAUCAGAUAGAGAAAACACCCAUUAUAGAGCUGUGGAGCCCUUACGAUAUAGUGCUAUGCUGCAACAAAUUAGACAGAAGAGUAUUUGUUGAAUAAUAAAAGAGUCUCACUCUAUUGCCCAGGCUGGAGUGCAGUGGCAUGAUCUCGGUACACUGCAAGCUCUGUCUCCUGAGUUCAAGCGAUUCUCAUGCCUCAGCCUCCCGAGUAGCUGGGAUUACAGUUUUCCAAUAAUAACAUAGAAAAAAGGAAGAAUUUGAGAGUUUCUCAGAUUAGGCAAUUCCUUGAAGAAUCUGAGAACACAGAAGCUCCCCUCCCUACUUUCCAUGAUUGAAAUCAGUGAUUCAUUGGUUUCUUUGUGUGGGCUUUUGAAAGAUCAUUAGAAACCAACCUGAAGAUCAUGAGAUUCUUGUGGACACAGGAGCAAUGAGUGGCAAUACAGUGCUUUCUAAUGCAACCUACUUUAAAAGGUAAACAGA